CCUUUUAUUGAAAUAAUCCCCUGAUAAUAACAAUAAAUCUGGUAAGGCACUUUCAAAAAAUAGCCAAACCACACAUCAUAAAGAAAACCACCACAAUCAAAAUCGGUAACUAUCAGCUUUCAGGGGGUCUCAGGUUAUCAUGACGAUCGGGGUAAAGGAUGGACUACUAUUGCGGUCUGAAUUGAGGACGUUUUGAUAAAUUAUUUUGAUAACCGUUCGAAUACUAAUAAUAAAUAUCCUCCGGCAUAGCCGGAGGUUUUUCUGAUG
rnacentral:sRNA from 21 species